GUUCACACGGCGAGACCGCGGACGGCUCAUUAAAUCAGUCGUGGUCCAAAUGGGCCAGUGCAAAUCCUACUUGGAUAACUGUGGUAAUUCCAGAGCUAAUACAUGCAACUGAUAUCCCGAAGGCGGUGUUUGGGCUUGCUUGCCUUGCGCUGCGCUGCUCUGACGGAUGCUUUUAUUAGACCAAGCCGCUGAGGACUUGAGGGUUCGCGCUCUCUUGUCUGACUCGUGUGAUGGUGACUCUGGAUAACCAAAUUCUGACAAGCGCACGUACUUCUCUUCUGAGCGAGACGGCGCUGCCACUUUCGAGUGUCUGCCUUAUCAGCUAUCAACCGUUCGUUAUGCGCGACCGAUGGCUUUGACGGGUAACGGGGAAUCAGGGUUCGAUUCCGGAGAGGCAGCCUGAGAGACGGCUACCACGUCCAAGGACGGCAGCAGGCACGCAAAUUACCCAAUCCCAGCAAAUGGGGGAGGUAGUGACGAAAUCUAACGAUGCGGGCGCCCUUUCUGGGGCCCCGCAAUCGGAAUGGGCACUUUCUA
rnacentral:rRNA from 1 species